rnacentral:rRNA from 1 species
UGCCAGCCGCCGCGGUAAUACGGAGGGUGUGAGCGUUGUUCGGAAUUACUGGGCGUAAAGCGCGUGUAGGCGGACUUUUAAGUCUGGUGUGAAAUCCCGGGGCUCACCCCCGGAAGUGCAUUGGAUACUGGAAGUCUAGAGUACCGGAGAGGAAGGUGGAAUUCCUGGUGUAGCGGUGAAAUCCGUAGAUAUUCGGAGGAACACCAGUGGCGAAGGCGGCUUUCUGGACCGAUACUGACGCUGAGACGCGAAAGCGUGGGGAGCAAACAGGAUUAGAUA